ACUAACUCUGUGUAAACCACAUGAGUAUUUUCUGAUCCAAGAGUUAGUGACGUGGGAAAACGCACAAGAUUACUGCAGGAAAAACCAUAUUGACCUGGCCACAGUUCAAAGCGAUGAGGACUGGACGAAUCUGAGAGAAGUCGCAGUCGAAGAAGGGUUUUAUGGAUUUGCCUGGAUUGGACUCUACGAUGACAUCAACAGCUGGCGAUGGUCUUAUCAGGAUGAGAGUCUAGAGUUUGAGUUCUGGUAUUUUGGCCAGCCGGAUAACUACGGCGCAGGACCACAGUGUGUUGCGAUAUAUUUUGACGGAACCUGGAAUGAUUACGGUUGCGAUAACACAAGAUAUUUUGUGUGUAGCGAUGAAAGUGCCAAUGCAACAGAGAAAAUGGUUUUAAUCAAAACGGAAAAGACAUGGCUUGAUGCUCAGAAGUACUGCAGACAGCAUCAUACAGACCUGGUUACCAUUAGGAGUCAAGAUGACAACGACCAGAUAUCCAACUUGCUAAGUUUUAUGUAUGAUGCCUGGAUUGGACUGUACAGGGACAGUUGGAAGUGGUCAGAUCAGGCCAACUUUACUUCCUCAACUGAACUCGCCGUUCAGAAACUUAUCGGGGCCAAAGAAGACUGUGCUGGUACAGAUUAUUAUCGUAAUACUGAUGAUAGAUACUGCACUGACCUUCAUUACUUCUACUGUAGCACAGUCAAGAAGAAGCAGCAGGUGAUCCGAGUGCAGGUGAAAGCCAGUGAGAAUGCAGACGACGCUACACUGAGUGCACUCGUCUUACGCAAGUUACAGCAGACGCUGGGCGAUCAGGACGUCACACUGACAUGGAAGAAACAACCGAACGGAAAAGUCUUCCAGAAGAAAAAGACUGUGCGAAAAAGUAGUAAUGCCAGUACAACUU